rnacentral:tRNA from 1 species
GGUUUUGGCUCAGUGGUAGAGCACUUGCCUAGCAUGUUUGAGGCCCUGGGUUUGAUCCUCAGCACCA